UACGUAGGGUGCAAGCGUUGUCCGGAAUUAUUGGGCGUAAAGGGCGCGUAGGCGGCCUGAUAAGUAGGGGGUGAAAUCCUGCGGCUUAACCGCAGGGCUGCCUUCUAAACUGUCAGGCUUGAGCACAGUAGAGGCAGGUGGAAUUCCCGGUGUAGCGGUGGAAUGCGUAGAGAUCGGGGAGGAACACCAGUGGCGAAGGCGGCUCACUGGACUGGUACUGACGCUGAGGCGCGAAAGCGUGGGGAGCAAACAGG
rnacentral:rRNA from 1 species